GCCCAGGUCCACUCUGCAGCGGGCCAAGCCGUGGAAGGACAGCAAGCUGAUGUCUGGUGGCUGGGCUUGGCUGGAGGCCCUGCCCUCAGCUGUGCUUGACCUGGGCCCCCCGCUGAGCCUCCGCCUGUCCUCAUCUGUGACCCCGGAGGGGUGGUCCCAGAGAUCCCACCCUCCUCGGAGCUGCAGAGUCACUGGGACCCGAGGCACCUGCGUUGACACACCCAGGGUUGCGCAAGGCACUGGCGGUGACGCAGCCGGGACCCCAGCCCAGCUCUCCGGAAGGGGAGUCUCGCUCUGAUCCCGGGUGGGGGAGAUGGGGUCACGUUCCUCCCGGGUGGCCGCUCUCCCCCCUCCGCGCAGCACCCUCAGGGCCGGGAUCCGCUUCUACCGGCCGCGCCGCGCCAAGAGGGGCUCGGGCCGCGGGUAGCGCUAAGGAGGCGCUGGGGCAGGAGCAAGGGACACGGCGGGGCUCGCUGUGGGUCUGAGCCCUUUGGGAAACUGAUGCCCAGCCCUGGUGUCCCUCCAACGAGCUCAGGUCCCCAGGGGUCCUUCUAGGAGUGUCCCGACACUGCCGGGCACAGACGGGCCCGCCAGGAAGGUGCCCCCGGCCCCCCGGCGGAGGAGGCGACCCUCCCGGACCUGCAGGCAGGUGGCGGGGCGGAGCCCGGGGUGCCCGCAGGAACGCGUCGGGACCGGGCGGCGGAGCCCCUCGGGACCAGCCUCUGCAGGCCUGGGAGACCCCGCGAGCGGCGGGGCCCAGGCGGCAGGUCGGCGCGACCCGUCCU